UAGAUACUCCCUCCGUCCCAAAAUUCUUGUCUUAGAUUUGUCUAGAUAUGAAUGUAUCUAGUCACGUUUUAGUAUUUUGAUACAUCCAUUUCUAGACAAACCUAAGACAGAUUUUUUGAGACGGAGGGAGUACUUU
rnacentral:pre_miRNA from 1 species